rnacentral:rRNA from 1 species
AGUGAACGCUGGCGGUAGGCCUAACACAUGCAAGUCGAACGGCAGCACAGUAAGAGCUUGCUCUUACGGGUGGCGAGUGGCGGACGGGUGAGGAAUACAUCGGAAUCUACUUUUUCGUGGGGGAUAACGUAGGGAAACUUACGCUAAUACCGCAUACGACCUACGGGUGGAAGCAGGGGAUCUUCGGACCUUGCGCGAUUGAAUGAGCCGAUGUCGGAUUAGCUAGUUGGCGGGGUAAAGGCCCUCCAAGGCGACGAUCCGUAGCUGGUCUGAGAGGAUGAUCAGCCACACUGGAACUGAGACACGGUCCAGACUCCUACGGGAGGCAGCAGUGGGGAAUAUUGGACAAUGGGCGCAAGCCUGAUCCAGCCAUACCGCGUGGGUGAAGAAGGCCUUCGGGUUGUAAAGCCCUUUUGUUGGGAAAGAAAAGCAGCAGGUUAAUACCCCGCUGUUCUGACGGUACCCAAAGAAUAAGCACCGGCUAACUUCGUG